AACCCAAGCAUGAUGGCUCUAUUCUCAAUCCCCGACCGUUCCCUGGAGACUUCAUCUAAUGCCGUCACAGAGGGAUCCAUGCUUCAUUGGAGAUAGGAUGUUCAGGGUCCAUUUCAUGCAGUCCGAGAGAAAUUCCAUCAAUCGCUCAACUCUCUCCUUCAUCAUCCACACCCCUUACCAGCAUCCUCCUAUCUUAAGGACAAAGAGAAAAAGUCAGAAGCAAAAACUGCUUCUGGUAUCCCCGAUCUCCUAUCAUUUCUCUCUGCCCUUGCUUUUUUUUGGAGACAGUGGAGAACAGUGGUUAGAGAAUGGGUCCUCACAGCUGCAGUGUCUGGCCUCAGGUUAGACACCAGAUGGCUGUGUGACGGUGGUACUUAACCAAUAAAAAGGGGAUGAUGACCUCAUCCGAGCCUAGCUAAGA